rnacentral:rRNA from 1 species
UACGUAGGCAGCAAGCGUUGUUCGGAAUUACUGGGCGUAAAGAGUGUGUAGGCGGUUUUCUAAGUUCGGUGUGAAAUCUCCCGGCUUAACUGGGGGCGUGCGGGCGAUACGGGCAGACUGGAGUACUGCAGGGGAGACUGGAAUUCCUGGUGUAGCGGUGGAAUGCGCAGAUAUCAGGAGGAACACCGGUGGCGAAGGCGGUUCUCUGGGCCUGUACUGACGCUGAGGAGCGAAAGCGUGGGGAGCGAACAGG